UGCUCUGACUGUCUCCUCCGCGUCCGCGUAAGUAAAAAAAAUGCAACUACCUUCUCCUUCCUCGCCCCGCCGCCGUCCUCGCCUUCCCAUCCGCCGCGUCGCCCCGCUGCAGGCCGCCCCUCCCGGUCCACAUCGCGCCGCCCCGCCGCCGUCCUCGCCUUCCCCAUCCGCACGCCGCCACUCCGCCGUCCUCGCCGGCCGCAUCCUGUCGCCACUCCGGUCCUCCUCCGUCAGCCGCUUCUCCGGCACCCUCCGCGACGGGGCCCGCAAGUCCGGCGAGCGCACGAGGGACCGGACAAGGACCGCGCUGGCGACAGCGGCAUCUCCCGCCGCUGCCAGAUCCUCCUCGGAUUCCUCUGCUUCAGUGCUUCGUCCUCCUGUUCACCAUCUUCUGCCUCAUCAUCUGGGGCGUCAAGGGAGUCUCUUGUUGCUCGCUGACGGCUCGUGAUCAGCCUUCAUCUGAGACAGUCUCCUCCAAAAGUUGACCUUGAAGGUGUUGGUUGGGAUUAGGGCCUUUUUAUAGUUCCGCCGUAUUGAAGCUCCUCCCUCCCCGUCACGCCCCCACUCGCCGGCCUCCGCUGCGCCUCCGCUCUCACCAAUGCCACGCAUCUGGGGAAGAAGGGGAGGAGAUAGAGAAGAGAAAGGGAGAUGAUGAAGUGGAGGAAGUGGGGUCCAUUAUUUUUAAUCUUAUAAUUUGACUGACAUGUGGGUCUAAAUAUUUUGUUUUUAUUUUUAAAUUGUUAAUUUUGCUUCAUAUGCCACAUACCUGUUAUAUCUGAUUUUCAGUUUGAAGGAUGAAAUCGGAUUCGUUGACAAAUUAAGGGACUUAACUUAUAGUUGAAGCAGUAAACCAGAUAAACUGACUAGAGUAUAUUUUUGCAAGCUACUUAAGAAGGAAAAUGUGGAAAUAUAUUUUUUGUUGCAAGCCAUUUUACUUGUGUUUUGUCAGUGACACUGGCUGGCCCAGCAUGCACCCCCCCCCCCACACCCAACCCCACCCAAAAGGAUAUCACUACAAAUUGGUUGAAAAUGGAGGGUUCAAGCCAAUGCAUCUGCUUACAUGGUUUAACGUCAGGCUGGACUCGUGAAUUUUGUUUUGUAUCUAUAUGUUUUUUCUUCAAUAAGUUCAGCACAAAAUUGUGAGUGUUCCUUUCUUCGUCUCUCGCCUUGUACAUUUCUAAUUGUUAUAUGUUAUUUAACUGUAUAAACAAUUAAUAACAAGAAUUGUGUAUAGGUGGCGCGUCCCAGUAUCUAGUAUAUUUGAAUGUUGGUCUAGGUACCAGAAUUUAUCCAUUUAUCUAAGCAUAUGCUGCUGUUAUUGUACCCUUCCUGACUCCAAUAUGAUGAAAAUGUAGAUCUUUCUACAUAGAAUUGAAAUCUCACUACAGUAAACAUCAUGCUGUGAUUAAUUGUUAUGCAUAUGUCAGUGUAUGUUCACCUACACACAUGUCUCAAGGACAACAUAGAUAGAAAAAUUGAUCUGCUAAUGAUUAAUUGUUAUGCAUAUGUCAGUGUAUGUUCAUGGGAAUAAAAUGUCUGCCUAUUCUUAUUUUUCUGCAGAGAAAUAAUUGUACUAUGUGCUUGUGCACUGAUAAUAUGAGUGUGCUUGAAAUCUGUUGUUAAUUCAUGGGCUUGAACUUCUAAACAGAAUUAUCCACACCACAGACACAUGGUUAUUUUACUAUGGCAGUAAUUACACCUAGGAACUAUGCAUGUUAAUUUGAUGAGUCGCUCUUCUUCAUUGUAGGGUGAAUUGGUCACAGUGUAUGCUAACAAUUGGAGCAAGAUAACUUGCGGGGGAAACUUUGCACAGAGUUCCACUACGAUUAAUGGGUGGCUCCGAGAUUUCUUGUGGGCACAAGCAUCCCAAGCCAAGAAGAAGAUGGCGAGGCUGAUACAAAGGAUCAUCCAGGACAAGAGGGCAAGGAGGGCCGCCGCGGGACGCCAUCGAUGUCCUCAUCGGAGACGGCAGCAAUGAGCUCACCGACAAACUCAUCUCUGACACCAUGAUCGACCUCAUGAUACCCGCAAGGACUCCGUCCCGGUUCUCAUCAUGCUCACCAUCAAGUUCCUCAGCGAGUGCCCUCUCGCCCUUCACCAACUGGAAAUCAAGCAGGAUGACUAAUGUUGUUGACGUGAUGACUGCUAUCUGGACUUGCUUAUGAUAUUGUUUUCUGCCUUUCCAUUCUAUGUAGGGUCAUUCAUUGAUGCAUUUUCCUAGCCUGUUAACUGCAUCACAACACCGAGCCCAAAUUGGAAAGAGAUCAUGGCCAUCCUAUCAAGAAGUUCUUGCAGGACCUUGGCCAGGUCCCCAAACCUGACAGCAAGCUGGUGAGUUUGCCGGACGACCGGGCAGACAUGGAAAUCAGCUUCAAGCCACUCCAAGUCAAGCUUGUCAGAAAUCCUGGUAAAUCUUCAGUGUUGGAUAGUGUGGUGGGGAUGGAUUUCUUACUAAGUGAUUCAGGUAUGUUUCAGGAAGUAGUUACUGUUGAGUUUUGUGAUACCUUCCAGUUUUAUGUAUUUUUAAAAGCUAUGUUUGGAUUGGAGGAUGCUACCUACAGGCAUCUAUUAUCUUAAAAAAAAAUUAUAGGUAUCCUCAGCCAUUCAUCAUAGGUGGUGCAACCUGCAGCAAGAGAUUUAUAGAUUUUUUAUUAUCAAUCCAGUAGCUGAUUCCUAUGUUGGUCAACCGAUGAAUUUGAGGCUUGCGUGCUAGUGGCAGAGUAGGUUCUUGUCACUGUCAAGAUGACAGGCAAUGCGAGGAAGGCCUGAUGAGAAGAGGAGCAUGCAAGCUACAAUUGCUUUGUUACAUGUAUGAAUUGGAAGCUGCGGAGAGGGUUGUGCACUGGUUGAAUAAAUCUGUUGUACAUUUUGUGGAGAGCAUCAAAGAAAUUAUCGAUGAGAAGUUUGGCAAUGAAAUCAUGUCAGCUAUCGACUUCUACUGUUCGGUUGACUAGGUAGGUGCUGAUGGAAAAACAAGGUACAUGGUGCUGAUGGAAAAGAUCGUGUGGUCACAUUUGAUGGGAAAUAUCUUCCAUGUACUAUGCAGGUCCAUGUUGUUGGAGAAGAGCCAGUUGAUAUCCGUGCGACUAUUCCCAGAGCCCGGCUGGCUGGACAAGGAGCUCCCACUGCUCGCCAGCUUGGUUCUGCGCAUCUCCUAGGUCUGCCCUCCUAGGUCUACCCGCCGCACCGGUCUUAUAUCUCCUCUGAGAUUUCAAGAGAUGAAGUGACGCUGAGUGUAUCCACACGAAUCUGACCGCAUGGGUCUGGCUUUCUAAGAAUCGACCAAUUCACUAAUUCAAUAUGACUUUUUAUUAUGACAUCGCUCUUCAUGGUGUAACCAAUGCUCAUACUAUACAGACAUUAAAGCAAUCUGUAAGAUUAAUAUUUUUUCUAUUAUUUCUACCUUGUUGUAUACAUGAAAUGAUUUGUACGAGUAAGUUAUGCAUGAAAAUAUCACGUUCAUACUCACUGUAAGAAACUGGAUGAUCAACAGGUUUAUUCCAUGUUUGUAACCA